ensembl:lncRNA novel transcript
CUCCGGCUCCAGAUCAUCCAGUGUGACAGAGUCUUAAUCCGUGGUUCUGCCCAUCAGCACAUUCAACGGACUUAGGAUUUCUCACCACGUGCCCUUAUUUUGGAAAACUGUUCAUUUCAAGACCACAGGCAAAGGGGAUACUAAGAAUAAUCGCAGAAUUAACAUCGGCAAGGAGAUAGAAGAGUGGCAGUGUGGAUUGCGACAGCCUGGGAAAUACAUUCCAAAGAAGAAUCUCAGAAUCGUGACCACUUCAAAAGUUCCCAAAUACAAUCCUUACUCUCCCAGAAUAUCAGUUGAGUGAAUACUGGGCUUUACAUUCAGGCAGUUAUCAAACAACGUUUGCCUAUGGUGGGCAGUUAUCAAACAACGUUGGCUCAUGGAAGAUGGUGCAUGUAGAUAGAUGCAGAUGACUUAAAAAUAAUCUAAUUCUGUGAAGAAAGCAGGCUGAUAUUUUAAAAAUGAAGAAAAAGAAGUUGUAAUGGGCUAAAUAAUGUGUCCAGAGUCAAGCAGCUCUAUGUAAGAAAGGGGCUGUCCCACUAAGGAGUCCUACAUUCCAACCCUCAUUUGCAGAGU